rnacentral:rRNA from 1 species
GACGAACGCUGGCGGCGUGCUUAACACAUGCAAGUCGAACGGAAAGGCCCUGCUUUUGUGGGGUGCUCGAGUGGCGAACGGGUGAGUAACACGUGAGUAACCUGCCCUUGACUUUGUGAUAACUUCAGGAAACUGGGGCUAAUACCGGAUAGGAGCUCCUGCUGCAUGGUGGUGGUUGGAAAGUUUCGGCGGUUGGGGAUGGACUCGCGGCUUAUCAGCUUGUUGGUGUGGUAGUGGCUUACCAAGGCUUUGACGGGUAGCCUGCCUGAGAGGGUGACCGGCCACAUUGGGACUGCGAUACGGCCCAGACUCCUACGGGAGGCAGCAGUGGAGAAUAUUGCACAAUGGGCGGAAGCCUGAUGCAGCAACGCCGCGUGCGGGAUGACGGCUUUCGGGUUGUAAACCGAUUUCGCCUGUGCCGAAGCGUGAGUGACGGUAAUGGGUAAAGAAGCAACGGCUAACUACGUG